AAAAUCCGUCGACUUUC
rnacentral:tRNA from 1 species